rnacentral:rRNA from 1 species
GAUUUCUGGUACGGUGCGCGUGGCCCGCCAUCGAAAGGUGUGCGAGUGUCGCUUGUGCGUCUACCAUCUCUUGUAGCUAGGGUGUCUCUCUCCAGGGGCAUCUGAACUACAUCGUUUACUUUGAAGAAAUUAGAGUGUUCAAAGCGGGCUUGCGCAUGAAUAUAUUAGCAUGGAAUAAUAAUUUAGGACUUCUGUUCUAUUUUGUUGGUUUCUAGGAUGGAAGUAAUGAUUGAUAGGGAUAGUUGGGGGUGCUAGUAUUCCGCGGCCAGAGGUGAAAUUCUUGGAUUCGCGGAAGACUAACUUAUGCGAAAGCAUU